rnacentral:rRNA from 1 species
GACGAACGCUGGCGGCGUGCUUAACACAUGCAAGUCGAACGAUGACCUCCCGCUUGCGGGGGUGAUGAGUGGCGAACGGGUGAGUAAUACGUGAGUAACCUGCGCUUGAGGCUGGGAUAAGCCGGGGAAACAGGGACUAAUACUGGAGACUACAUCCUGCCGCAUGGUGGGGGGUGGGAAGGGUUUUACUGGUUUUGGGUGGGCUCGCGGCCUAUCAGCUUGUUGGUGGAGUGAUGGAUGACCAAGGCGAGGACGGGUAGCGGGACAGUGAGAGUGACCGGCCACCCUGGGACUGAGGCGAGGCCCCGGCGCCUACGGGUGGCCGCAGGGGGGAAGCUUGCACCAGCGGCGGAGGCCUGAUGCAGCGACGCCUCGGGUGGGAAGACGGUCUUCGGGUUGUAAAACUCUUUCCGCAGGGAAGAGGCCGGAAGUGACGGUACCUGCAGAAGAAGCGCCGGCUAACUACGUG